AUGUACAUUAUGGCUCUCUCCUUGCCUGGAACUGGAUAUGAGAAAUGCUUGAAUUAAGAUCUGUGAAUUAUCUUAUUUUCUUGAGAUCUUCAACAGCAGAAAUCAAGAGAGAGAUUCGUCAAAGAAAUGAAGGCUCCUCUGCAAGACAGGAUGUGCCCACUAACAAGAGUUAAAUAAAAACUUCAGAAUUCAGUAUGCAUUACAUGAAUCAAUAUAUAAAAAGAGUCAGAAGGAUGCAGAUUGCCCAUACUUCAUAGCAGAGCAACAGGAGGGACUUAGGGACAAAAAGAGGAAAACGAAGGCAUUACAAAACAAGCAUAUUAAGUAUACGAUUCACAUCCCAACAGCUCAAAGGCAAGGAAGACUGAGGAAGCUAAGUUACUGGCCAUAUGUUUAAUAAAUAUAAGCUUAAUGGCAGUGAAUGUAUUAAUGUCAGCGAAGACAAGUCUAUGAAGUUAAACAGGCACAGAGAGGCUAAGAGUCUUGCCAAAGGCCACAGAGGAAGGAAGAGACUAAAUCUGGAACAAACUUUCUAUUCUCCAUUUCCAGAAGAAACCACUAAACCAUGCUUCCUCUUGUCAUGGAAGCUUAAAAUAUUUGGACUGUCUGUGGAUCCAGGGAGGAAUUUCAGAAGAGCCAGGAUUAGUCAAUCAAAUUAAACUCAAUAUCACCCAAAUAAAGUUGGUCAGAUCAAACUACGUUUAAAUAAGAAUUAAAAUGCCAUUUGUCCAUCACCUAAUGGCUCAAUUUGCUCCUGCCUUGGGUGUGCACACCCUGCUCUGGAACAGACCAGAGCUCUAAAGAAGUGACUGGAAGUUGUGAAUGUCAUUGUUAUGAAGCUUCAAAUUUGCUCUCCUCUUUAGGACACAGACAUGGCAUUAGAGAAGGGCAGAAAACUGCACUUGGCUGUGCAUAGAGAACACUAGAGACCUCUUGUGCAAGAGAGGGGACUAGGUUGCGUAGUGUAAUGAGAGAAGCAUGGGUUUUGAGACCGCUACAAUGUCUGUGUCUUCUUGGCCAACAUUUCAGUAAGAGUAGUAAGCAUAUCUCCACAAUAGGGUUAAGAGAACCAGUGUCUUCUGAAAAACACAUGAAAUCAUCGUAACCCUGCUAAGUCUGUGCUUUGCAAAAAUUAAAACUAAAACUAAUUUUCA
rnacentral:lncRNA from 1 species